rnacentral:rRNA from 1 species
AAUAUUGCGCUAAUGCGCGAAAGCGUGACGCAGCGACGCCGCGUGGGGGAUGAAGGCCCUCGGGUCGUAAACCCCUUUCGCCAGGGACGAAGGGAAACUGACGGUACCUGGAGAAGAAGUCCCGGCUAACUACGUGCCAGCAGCCGCGGUAACACGUAGGGGACGAGCGUUGUCCGGAUUCAUUGGGCGUAAAGCGCGCGUAGGCGGCCCGGAAAGUCGGUUGUGAAAGCCCGGGGCUCAACCCCGGGACUGCAUCCGAUACUUCCGGGCUGGAGGUAGGUAGGGGAGAUCGGAAUUCCUGGUGUAGCGGUGAAAUGCGCAGAUAUCAGGAGGAACACCGGUGGCGAAGGCGGAUCUCUGGGCCUUACCUGACGCUGAGGCGCGAAAGCUAGGGGAGCGAACAGGAUUAGAUACCCUGGUAGUCCUAGCCGUAAACGUUGGGUGCUAGGUGUGGGCGGACAUCGACCCCGUCCGUGCCGAAGCUAACGCAUUAAGCACCCCGCCUGGGGAGUACGGCCGCAAGGCUA